ensembl:lncRNA
CAAGGUCUCAGCCUAGCAGAUGGCCUCUGUUCUCCAGGGCGGCGACAUGGACUUGGCCUAAGCCCAGUGGAGAGACGCUGCGGACAGAGGCCGUGGGAGGUUUCUAUACCAAGGGCUGGAUGUGACCAGUUAAGAGUCAGAGUGACACAGUGAGCUUGAAGAGAGAAAGAUGCAAAUUCUUUCCUUCUAAUUGGUCUUUACUAGUCUGUAGCUUUGUGAGCCCUGGAAGCUGACACCAAGAAGCACAUUCUCAUCCACUAAGAGUCCAGGGGCAUCAAAGACAGAGCCAGGGGCUGCCCUCGAGUGGCUUCAUGGGCGCUGGGCAUUGCCUAUGGGAGCAGACAGCAAACAUCAGAGGUCUGUUGGGUGGACCCUCAGUCCCAUGGUUGAUGUCCUUAUAUGAAGAGGAGAGGACACACGUGACACUGGAGGCAGACAUUGGAGUGAUGCAGCUACAAGCCAAGGAGCGCCAAGGUGCUGGGUGCCAGGAGAAGCUGGAAGAGUGGAAGGAAAUCCUGGACCAAAUUUCCACGAAUUUUGCUAUUGUGGUUGAAGUUGAUUGAUUCUGGGUGACAAGAUCCUUUCCUAGACACCAACUUGCCAUGCUUCGUCUGCAGCUGUGUAUGCAACAAUAUUCAUAGAUGAAAAAGAAGAGAAACGGCUACAUGAAGAACUAGUUUCAUAAAUUCUGGCAGGACUUCCAGGCUGUCCCUCAAGGCAAUGUCUCCAAAUUCCUAGAAAGCUCUGGAAACAAGACAGAGAACAAUGUGGAACUGUUUGGACCCAUUGACCUAAAGGCCUGGAGGUUAAGGACUUGUGAAGUGGCCUCAGUAGCCCAGUUUGUCCCCGGGGAGAAGUGGCCAGAGGGGCUGCCAGGCUGUUGAAAUGUUCUCUCCCUGGAGAAGCAGUGGUGGAGGCCAAGGGACACCGAUGAUCCUCCUCUCAGUUCCUCCAGUAACUCACAGGGUGGGAAGAGGCUGUAAAGCCUUCUUUGACCUGGCACAGAGCAUCCUGUCAUCAUUGCAGGUUGGGCUCGCCAGCACCCUUACAGGCUCUGCAUCGAAGUACUGGCCUAUGCAUGAGGCCCUACUGGCUGGUUUGUGUUGGAUCCUGGCUCUUCAUGAAAAACUAUUUGCAAGUUCACCUAGUUGUAUGGCAUCGCAAGUUAGAAAAACGUGCUAGGAAUAACCGUGGGAGACAUUCGAGGUAACAUCAGCAGCUACGACCCAGGUCUUCUUUGCCCAGCCACCCCAUCUGACCUUUUGAUUCUCUCAUAUACAAUAAUUUAUGGUGGUUGAAUUCUCUAAGUCAGAAUACACCCUGCAACACACCAAUGGAAGGAGCAGGGGCCCAGGUACCCAGGCUAGAGGUGACAUCCACGAUCCAUGCCACACCAAGUACUCCAUCAUCUGGCUCCCUGCCUACCCUCCCACAUCUUCUCUUACCACUCUCUGCUUUAUAUUUUAGGUUCCAGCCACAUUAUGAUGCAAGAGGUCCCCAUGUGAGCCAUGCUACUUCUUGACCCCUGACCCUUGCUCACACUGUCUGCUUCGAACACACAGCUUAUCUCCUCCUGACCCCUCCUUUUUUUUUGCUGAGGAAGAUUCUCCCUGAGCUAGCAUCCAUGCCAAUCUUCCUCUAUUUUUCUAGCAUGUAGGCCACUAGCACAGCAUGGCCACCAGCAGAGCGGUGUAGGUCCACUCCUGAGAACCAAACCUGGGCCACCGCCAUGGAGUGUGCCAAACUUAACCACUAGGCCACUAAAGCUGGCCCUCCUCCUUAACUCUUACUAAUCCUGUAGGACCAACCACAGGUUUCACCUCUUCCAGGAAGGCUUCCUGAUCUCCCCCAUCCACAGCUGAAUUACACGCUCCUUAUCUCUGCCCUUUCAGUACCCUGUGAUAAUUUCUAUCACUCUUAUUUAUUACAUUACAUUGUAGUUACCAGUUUAUAUCUAUCUUUCUCAAAAUUAUGACCUCACUUAGGACAGGGGUUGUGUCUUUUUUAUGUGUGUACCUCAGUGCCUAGCAAAGGGUACAUGGUUAGUGUUGAAUCAGUGAUUGUGGAGGGAGUGAGUGAAGAGGGGAUUAGAGAACCAACAAGGAGCCGUCAUCUGCUAUGUGCCUGACACUGUGUCAGAUGUGUUGUGUCAUUCAAUCAAUUCACAAAAAUACGCAAAGUGGGCGUCAUUAUCCAAACUCAUCAAAUGAGGAAGAUGAGACUCACAGAGCAGAAACACCUUUCUUGAGGUCCCAUAAUUAGUAAGAGACAGCAGCUUGUUUUGAAUCAAAGCCCCCGGGACCCAGAAGUCUGUGCUAUCUUCAUGACACCAUCACCUGCUCCCUGACAGUCACCAUCUGAAGUGCCCAGGCUGGGGGCGUCAUGGUCGAGCGGGAGCAGCCAGCACUUAGGCUGACCCAGGAUAUAACAAGAUUCUUUUGGGACAGCAUCUUUCGACUACCCAUGUCUGGCCACUACAGGGAUGCAUUUGUGAGAAUUAGUGCCUCCACUAGCCAAUCUCCUUGGAAGAAUGGCCCAGGAGUCGGCUUCUCCUCUUCACCUCUGUACGACCUUAGGGUUAUUGCCUCAAAAUUUUUUAUAACUUUACUUCCUACAGAUAGCAUUUAGCUUUUAUAAAACCCACCCAAUUCGUUAUCUGCUCACAUUUCUCCAGAUGUUUCACCUCCCACUCCUGUCUUUCUUAAUGACUCUAGGGGGUUGAUUACCAGCAGGGUUAAAGCUGUCAAAUUAUUCUUGGCUCUAUUCCACUUCUUCUUCUUUUUUUUUUUUUUAAAUCUAUCUCCAAAGUUUAAUUCAAAAUCUUCACCAAUGGAUCAAUAAUCCUUUUAUUUUUUCUAAUUCUAGUCGAAUUACAGUACUACAACUAUACAAUGGAGAAUAGUUUCAUUUUCCUAUGAUUCUCCACAACCUGAAGAUUUUGCUGUUGACUUUGUUUCUGUGCCCCCUUCCCUGUUGCUCAAAGCAGAGAGCUAGAAAGGCGAGAGGGGGUUGAUUUCGGUGGGAAAAGGUCUUCAUAUGUCAGUCUAGGCUCCCUUCAUCUGUGCUUCUUUUGCAGGGGAGGGAAAAGGAUAGCACUGGGAUUCUAAAGAAAUCAGCAAGUUUUUACCUGUUGAUCUUCAGAGAGUACAGAGUGAAGGCAAAUAAGUUUAUUCAUGCAAUAGAUUUAAUGGGGCUGGCAGAUUCUCUUUGUUCUAAAUGCCACAGUCUAGCCACAGAACUACACAGAGAUGUGAAAAGUAAAACGAAACUUGGGGCUCACAGAAUCAUCACAAGAACCCCACUAAAUUGAAAUCUCAGAGGCUGGCUCCUCGUCCCCAGCUGGGGCCUGCCCACAACUCUGCUUACAGCUGAGGCAAGACUAGAGGGUUCUAGGAUGAAUCCUGAUUUUAAUUUCAAGAUUCACUUUUACUAACACAAAAUUGACAAUGGGAACCAGAAGAUUCCGCUUUCUCUCAACUUGGAUUUUUAUUGCCUCCGAGGUUCUGGAUCUUUUUUUCUUGAUUUGGAGCAGCGGUAGAGAACCCUGAAGCAACACUAGCCUCUCAGGCCUCAGGAACGUGCUCCAGUUGUUCCCUUGUUACUUACUAAUGGAACUUGCAAACUCCUCCUCCAUUCAGGACCAGAGCCUUGGAAUAACCUCUAUGAUACCCCACAGCACAGCAGUAUUUAAAAUAUUUAAAAUAGCCAUAAUUAAAUAUUUAUAUUGCACUUAACAUUUUACGAAGCACGUUUUAAUUUUCAUUUCUUUUGUGCAAUUGGAAAAACUCUGUAUUGGAUCAGAGCAAGGGUUACAACAUAUGAUGAAGCUGUAAAAUACGUUUCCUUUUGAAUAUCAUUAUACAUUUUCAUAGAUAUAAAGGUAGAGGUCAUCACAUACGAACUCUGUAUUCAGAGAACAAGAAACAGUUUUAGGAAACAUACGUAAAACUUUUUCUUAACAACUUGCAACUUCAUCUUGUGUGAUUCUUGCCAUCCACACACUCUGCUCUGAGGCUGAAAUUAUCCAAAUGAUAUCAAUUAGUUUAUUUUUAACCUACAGUAAACAAUCAUUAAUGCCUUUCAUACAUGGUAGCAGCUUACGCAUACACACUGCGUAUAUAUAUCUUAUGAUCAGUUUUCUAAGAAUAAAAUUUUCCUAUCCUUUUGGUAAAGGAGAUGGAGUGAAUAUACACAUAUAUUAGAUAAGAUUUAAAAAUAAAAAUGUGUUUUGCAAGGAAGGAUUGUAAUGAAAACUUUCUCAGAACUAAUUCACUGUAUAUAAGACAGUUUUAGGCUCGUGUUUUAAAAUAUACUACAGUGCUUUGGCGGGCCAGCCAUGUUUGUCCAAAAGGUAUUUUUUAUGUCAACAGUGCUUCAUAGGCUGAUAGGUUUUUUAUACAUUAAUUUUUUAAUCCAAAUACUCAAAUCCAAAUAUUGAAUAUACUUAAUUGGAUUUGGCUGUACCUGUUUAUUUGGCCAGAAUGUUAUCAGAGUAGAUGAAACUAGAUAAAACUGUUAAUGUAAGACCACAACUUGUCAGAUCUGAUCACUCCCUUUAGUGUGUAUAUAAUAACCUGGAGCACACACACAUUCCUCAUUUAAUUAAAUUACACAAUUUCUCAAUACUGUUACUCAAAUGUUAUCCUCACAUUUUCGAUGGAAGUAUUAAACAUUAUGUAUGUAUUAUUUAGGGAGGGCUGCCAUGACAAACUACCACAGACUGUGUGGUUUAAGCAACAGAAAUUUAUUUUCUCACAGUUCUGGAGGCUAGAAGUCCAAGAUCAAGGUGUCGGCAGGGUUGGUUUCUCCUGAGGCCUCUUUCCUUGGCUUGCAGAUAGCUAUCUUCCGUUUCUUCACAUGGUCUUCCCUCUGUAUAUGUUUGUGUCCAAAUUUCCUUUUCUUAUAAGGAUACCAGUCAUAGUGGAUUAGGGCCCACCCUAAUGCUCUCAUUUUAACUUAAUGACCUCUUUAAAGGUCCUAUCUCCUACUACAGUCACCAUCUGAGGUACUGGGGUUAGGACUUUGACAUACGAAUUUUGAGGGGGACAAAUUCAGCUCAUAACAAUAUAGUCCAGGGCCCCUUUCCACGGAGAAGGAUUUUUCAAGUGUCUUCAUAUUCUCCAAAUACCCAGAUUACUAAUUACUUUGGUCCAAGGACCCCAAUUAAGCAGGUGGUAUAAAACCCAGUAGUGACUCUGGUUAUUUGGUGUCAUACAGACCAAACCAAACCGUAGAGUCUCGUGCUCUCAGCCCCACCACCUUGCAAAGCAUUCUGCCCCAGAGGGCAGAGUUUACGCUCACUGGAUUUGUACAUGGGGCAAGAGAGACAAGCUCUUGAGAAAAUAAAGAUGAAUUUGGCCUUUCGGUUUUCAAAGUUGUCCAACUGGCUACCUGCUCCCAGGAUGGACAUGCAAUCUUAAGAUCUUCUCUCACCAAAUCCAAGAGCUCUCAAGAACUCUCUCGGGCCUUUGGGGACCAUUCCGUGAUGGUAAGAGAGCCACUCUCCAUGCAAGAGUGGAAACAGUUAACCAAAGUGUGUAACUCCGUCCUAGUCAAAGGAGUUUGUGGUACCUCUAUUAUCAGUCUUUGAAAUGUCUGUUAGAAUGUCUCUGUUUGGGCACUAACACUAAUACAAGUCAUCUCUCCGCCUUCCUGAUUACAUCAAGUUUCUGAAGUGUGGGGGUUUUGUCUUUUUUUUCCUUUUCUAUUCUCACCUCAGUGCCUGAGGUUCAGUAACUAUGGGCUCAGUAAUUGAAUUCACUCUCUUUAGUGUUGUUUUCUAAACCUAUGAUCUGUGCCACACCCCUAAGAGACUCAUUAUUUUCUAACUCUAUCUUUUUUGUACCCCCUUACCUAGAAUAUAGGUAUUGAAGGUAUGAGCAUCAUCUUACAUUUCUUUAAGUCCCAGUACCUGAUUCAUUCCCCAUACACAACAGAUGCUAGUCUUAUUUGUUUAUUGCUCAUUGACUCAAUAAAAAAAAAAUCUUGGGACCAGCCCUGUGGCAUAGCAGUUAAGUCCAGCACAUUCCACUUUGGUGCCCAGGUUUGUGGGUUUGGAUCCCAGGCAUAGACCUACACCACUCAUAAGCCAUGCUGUGGUGGCAACUCACAUAUAAAGUGGGGAAGGUUGGCGCAGAGGUCAGCUCAGGGCUAAUCUUCCUCAAGCAAAAAAAGAGCAAGAUUGGAAAACAAACAAACAAAGAAACAAACAAAAAAACCUCAUUGUAAAUCUCAAGAUUUAAAAAUCUUUCUUUACACCAGAACAGUGAUGAUUGUUGAAGGUGAGUGAUGGACACAUGGCAUUCAUUACACCAUUCUCUCGAUUUUUGUGUGUAUUUGAAAAUUU